GACGAACCGAGCGAACGUUGUUCGGAAUCACUGGGCUUAAAGGGCGCGUAGGCGGGUGCUCAAGUCCGGGGUGAAAUCCCACAGCUCAACUGUGGAACUGCCUCGGAUACUGGGUGCCUCGAGGGUGGUAGGGGUAUGCGGAACUAUCGGUGGAGCGGUGAAAUGCGUUGAUAUCGAUAGGAACUCCGGUGGCGAAGGCGGCAUACUGGACCACAUCUGACGCUGAGGAGCGAAAGCGUGGGUAGCAAACAGG
rnacentral:rRNA from 1 species